CCUACGGGAGGCUGCAGUGGGGAAUAUUGCACAAUGGGCGCAAGCCUGAUGCAGCCAUGCCGCGUGUGUGAAGAAGGCCUUCGGGUUGUAAAGCACUUUCAGCGGGGAGGAAGGCGUUAAGGUUAAUAACCUCAUCGAUUGACGUUACCCGCAGAAGAAGCACCGGCUAACUCCGUGCCAGCAGCCGCGGUAAUACGGAGGGUGCAAGCGUUAAUCGGAAUUACUGGGCGUAAAGCGCACGCAGGCGGUCUGCAAGUCGGAUGUGAAAUCCCCGGGCUCAACCUGGGAACUGCAUUCGAAACUGGCAGGCUAGAGUCUUGUAGAGGAGGGUAGAAUUCCAGGUGUAGCGGUGAAAUGCGUAGAGAUCUGGAGGAAUACCGGUGGCGAAGGCGGCCCCCUGGACAAAGACUGACGCUCAGGUGCGAAAGCGUGGGGAGCAAACAGGAUUAGAUACCCCGGUAGUC
rnacentral:rRNA from 1 species